UUGGAGGGCAAGUCUGGUGCCAGCAGCCGCGGUAAUUCCAGCUCCAAUAGCGUAUAUUAAAGUUGUUGCAGUUAAAAAGCUCGUAGUUGAAUUUCGGGAUCAAUGUUUCGGUCAUGCCGUUGGUAUGUACUGAUAUUAUUGAUUUCUCACCUUCUAAAGAACCGUAAUGCCAUUAAUUUGGUGUCACGGGGAAUUAGGACUGUUACCUUGAAAAAAUUAGAGUGUUUAAAGCAGGCUCACGCUUGAAUACAUUAGCAUGGAAUAAUGAAAUAGGACAUCCGAUUCUAUUUUGUUGGUUUCUAGGAUCGAUGUAAUGAUUAAUAGGGAUAGUUGGGGGCAUUAGUAUUCAAUUGUCAGAGGUGAAAUUCUUGGAUUUAUUGAAGACUAACUACUGCGAAAGCAUUUGCCAAGGAUGUUUUCAUUAAUCAAGAACGAAAGUUAGGGGAUCGAAGACGACCAGAUACCGUCGUAGUCUUAACCAUAAACUAUGCCGACUAGGGAUCGGAUGAUGUUAAUUUUUUAAUGACUCAUUCGGCGCCUUACGGGAAACCAAAGUGUUUGGGUUC
rnacentral:rRNA from 1 species